rnacentral:rRNA from 1 species
AAACAUGUCUUUUUGAUUUAUAUUUAAAGUCUAGCCUGCCCACUGAGUGAUUUUUAAAUGGCCGCAGUAUUUUGACUGUGCAAAGGUAGCAUAAUCAUUAGUUUUUUAAUUGAAGACUGGAAUGAAUGGUUGGACGAGGUAUAAGCUGUUUCAUAUAAAUUUAUUAUAGAAUUUUAUAUUUUAGUUAAAAAGCUAAAAUUUUAUUAAAAGACGAGAAGACCCUAUAAAUCUUUAUAUUUAAUGUAUUAUUUAAGUUUUAUAGAAACUUUAAACUUUUAUAAUAUUAAGUAUUUUGUUGGGGUGAUAUUAAAAUUUAAUUAACUUUUAAUUGUUAAAGUUCAUUAAUUUAUGAUUAAUUGAUCCAUUAAUAUUGAUUAUAAGAUUAAGUUACUUUAGGGAUAACAGCGUAAUUUUUUUUGAGAGUUCUUAUCGAUAAAAAAGGUUGCGACCUCGAUGUUGGAUUAAGGAUUGAUUUUGGGUGUAGCCGUUCAAAUAUUGAGUCUGUUCGACUUUUAAAUUCUUACAUGAUC